rnacentral:lncRNA from 1 species
CCGUGACCAUGUGAUGCUCUGAUAUGGGAUUGAUUUAUUUUUUUUCACACAGAAAAAUCUAUUUGAUUGCAUCUAAAACAAGAAUACAUGUUGGAAUAUAAUCAAAUGCCUAGAUGUUAAUUAGCAAAAGACCAUGAUACUCUGGCUAACUUGUAAGCAAUAUUAUUUUGACUUAUCUAUCUCCUUGCAAAAUUCACCAAUGAAUUUGAAAUUAAAUUCAAAACCUUCCUACAAUUGGACAGGAUAUGAUGGUUUCAACAUCAAUGAAGUUAUCCUUGCAGCACAUUAAAUCAUCCACCACUAAUUUAUAGCCAACUUCAAUGGUAAUAUCUUGCAAACCCAGCUCUUGAAUCCAAAGAAUUCCUUGUAGUAACCCCCAUGAUUCUGCCUCUUUUGGAUGAAGAAUUCUUGUUAGCCAUUGAGUUCUUGCUUUUACGAAAUUUCCAUGAUAACAUCGGAGACACAAACCUGCACCAAAACAGCUAUGAUCUUGGAAGAUGGUAACAUGUGUGUUGAGUUUAAAACAACCUGUUGCAGCGUCCAUUGUUUGUUUUCGCACGUUUAUGAUGUGUUAACAUUAUGGAAAUUUUCUUUCCUAGCAUGCUUCCACUCCAAUGGAAACUGAGUUGCCGUAGAGGUGGAUAUGUUAACUGGUAGGUCCUCUUCAUUCCAGAUUUUUUUAUUCCUUCUUAUCCAUAUAGUCCAUAAAAUCAGG